rnacentral:tRNA from 1 species
GCCUUCGUAAUGUAAUGGUAGCACACUCGGCUCGUUUUCGGGAGGUCCAGGUUCGAGUCUUAGCGAGGGCA